UGGAAGUAAAAGUCGUAACAAGGUUUCCGUAGGUGAACCUGCGGAAGGAUCAUUACCGAGUGAGGGCCCUUUGGGUCCAACCUCCCACCCGUGUUUAUUUUACCUUGUUGCUUCGGCGGGCCCGCCUUUACUGGCCGCCGGGGGGCUCACGCCCCCGGGCCCGCGCCCGCCGAAGACACCCCCGAACUCUGUCUGAAGAUUGAAGUCUGAGUGAAAAUAUAAAUUAUUUAAAACUUUCAACAACGGAUCUCUUGGUUCCGGCAUCGAUGAAGAACGCAGCGAAAUGCGAUACGUAAUGUGAAUUGCAAAUUCAGUGAAUCAUCGAGUCUUUGAACGCACAUUGCGCCCCCUGGUAUUCCGGGGGGCAUGCCUGUCCGAGCGUCAUUGCUGCCCUCAAGCCCGGCUUGUGUGUUGGGCCCCGUCCUCCGAUUCCGGGGGACGGGCCCGAAAGGCAGCGGCGGCACCGCGUCCGGUCCUCGAGCGUAUGGGGCUUUGUCACCCGCUCUGUAGGCCCGGCCGGCGCUUGCCGAUCAACCCAAAUUUUUAUCCAGGUUGACCUCGGAUCAGGUAGGGAUACCCGCUGAACUUAAGCAUAUCAAUAGGCGGGAGGAA
rnacentral:rRNA from 1 species